rnacentral:rRNA from 1 species
CCCUUAGAUGUUCUGGGCCGCACGCGUGCUACACUGAUUAUUUCAACAAGUGUUUUAACUGGAGAGUUUGCGUAAUCCUGAAAUGCUAUCGUGAUGGGAGUAGAGUAUUGUAUUUGUUAAUCUUUAACGAGGAAUUCCUAGUAAGUGUAGGUUUAUAAGUUGUUCUGAUUACGUCCCUGCCCUUUGUACACACCGCCCGUCGCUCCUACCGAUUGAUUGAUCCGGUGAAUUACAUAGAAUUUUGCGUUUUACAUGACGGAAGAUGAAGUGUUUUAAACCUUAUCAUUUAGAGGAAGGAGAAGUCGUAACA